UACGGAGGUUGCAAACGUUGCUCGGAAUCACUGGGCGUAAAGGGUGCGUAGGCGGGUCUUUAAGUCAGGGGUGAAAUCCUGGAGCUCAACUCCAGAACUGCCUUUGAUACUGAAGAUCUUGAGUUCGGGAGAGGUGAGUGGAACUGCGAGUGUAGAGGUGAAAUUCGUAGAUAUUCGCAAGAACACCAGUGGCGAAGGCGGCUCACUGGCCCGAUACUGACGCUGAGGCACGAAAGCGUGGGGAGCAAACAGG
rnacentral:rRNA from 1 species